AUAAAGUAUUUGAGAAAUGUCUGGUAACUCUCUUGUGAUUAGGUAACUUCAUGACUCAAACCUCCUGUUACUGUUUUGAUGCUAGCUAGCACUUAUUAAGCUACCUUUUAAUGAAAAAAAAAAAAAAAAAAAACCUUUUUCAAAAAGCAUUAAAAAGAUCCACCAUUUCAUUUUGAAGAUGGAGAAAGCAAAGUAAGGGUAGGUUAAAAGGUCUGUCAGAUUGCAUGGUCGAGUCUCUAACAAGAUAAGUAAUUCUUUUGUAUCAAUUCCUAUUACCUUGGAAAACACUGGGCUCUACCAGGCAGGUGAUUCCUGUUCAUAUUAUCUAGGGCCAACUAAAGUAGAAAUUAAAGGAAACCAACUAUAAAAUCCAUGUAGAAGAGAAAAAUAAGCAGCUCUUCAUCAACUGCAAAUUUUAAAAGAUUGAUUAGCUCUUUAUGUGCCCAGCUAAAUAUGCCAUUUAAACUCAAGGACCAAGCUUAUCUCAUGUUUGUUUUCUUCAAGUGGCUGCAUAUAAAUAAUGGCUACAGGCAGAAUCUACUUCACAAGUAUAUAAUCUAGCCACAACCAAAUCAUACUUACUGAAGACUAAGUGGAUUCCAGAGUUCAUCAUUGGCUAGACUGAUACUAUUUUACAUUUGUGUUAUAAAAGGUGGAUAUUUAAGAAGAGUGAACAUAUGACCGUACAUUUAUGAGUGACUAGCAGACAACUGUUUCCUGAGUCAGUCAACCUGGGUUUUACUGUCCUAAGACAAAAUCUGAAUUUAAAGAGACCAAAACUUUCAACAAAAAAACCACAUAUUUUUAUAAAGAAAGAUAAAAGAAAGUCUCAUAAUCAUGAUUCUGUAUGCUACUCAGGCAUUGAAAAGGUACCCUCAAUGAAAUUACUUUUCACCAUUGGUUUCAGGAUAUAAAACAAUUAAAAUUAGAACACACUAAAAGCUGCACUAUAGUUCAUGACAUCUGCAUGCCACACAAAAAAUCAAAAUGUAGUCUCACAUAGGCUGAUCAUACUAGAGUAUAUUUAUUAAAUUUCAC
rnacentral:lncRNA from 1 species